rnacentral:rRNA from 1 species
GAUGAACGCUAGCGGCAGGCUUAAUACAUGCAAGUCGUACGGGAUCCGAGGUAGCAAUACUUUGGUGAGAGUGGCGCACGGGUGCGUAACACGUAUGCAACCUACCUUUAACCGGGACACAACCCACCGAAAGGUGAGCUAAUAUCCCAUAACACUGCGAAGUGGCAUCACUUUGCAGUUAAAACUCCGGUGGUUAUGGAUGGGCAUGCGCGACAUUAGCUAGUUGGUGAGGUAACGGCCCACCAAGGCUACGAUGUCUAGGGGUUCUGAGAGGAUUAUCCCCCCACACUGGUACUGAGACACGGACCAGACUCCUACGGGAGGCAGCAGUAAGGAAUAUUGGUCAAUGGGCGCAAGCCUGAACCAGCCAUGCCGCGUGAAGGAUGACGGCCCUAUGGGUUGUAAACUUCUUUUGUACGGGAAAAACCACCGGUCGUGUAUCGGUGCUGAUGGUACCGUAAGAAUAAGCAUCGGCUAACUCCGUGCCAGCAGCCGCGGUAAU